UUCGACACACUAUCAUUAACUGAAUCCAUAGGUUAAUGAGGCGAACCGGGGGAACUGAAACAUCUAAGUACCCCGAGGAAAAGAAAUCAACCGAGAUUCCCCCAGUAGCGGCGAGCGAACGGGGAGGAGCCCAGAGCCUGAAUCAGUGUGUGUGUUAGUGGAAGCGUCUGGAAAGGCGCGCGAUACAGGGUGACAGCCCCGUACACAAAAAUGCACAUACUGUGAGCUCGAUGAGUAGGGCGGGACACGUGGUAUCCUGUCUGAAUAUGGGGGGACCAUCCUCCAAGGCUAAAUACUCCUGACUGACCGAUAGUGAACCAGUACCGUGAGGGAAAGGCGAAAAGAACCCCGGCGAGGGGAGUGAAAAAGAACCUGAAACCGUGUACGUACAAGCAGUGGGAGCCUCUUAAUGGGGUGACUGCGUACCUUUUGUAUAAUGGGUCAGCGACUUAUAUUCUGUAGCAAGGUUAACCGAAUAGGGGAGCCGAAGGGAAACCGAGUCUUAACUGGGCGUUAAGUUGCAGGGUAUAGACCCGAAACCCGGUGAUCUAGCCAUGGGCAGGUUGAAGGUUGGGUAACACUAACUGGAGGACCGAACCGACUAAUGUUGAAAAAUUAGCGGAUGACUUGUGGCUGGGGGUGAAAGGCCAAUCAAACCGGGAGAUAGCUGGUUCUCCCCGAAAGCUAUUUAGGUAGCGCCUCGUGAAUUCAUCUCCGGGGGUAGAGCACUGUUUCGGCAAGGGGGUCAUCCCGACUUACCAACCCGAUGCAAACUGCGAAUACCGGAGAAUGUUAUCACGGGAGACACACGGCGGGUGCUAACGUCCGUCGUGAAGAGGGAAACAACCCAGACCGCCAGCUAAGGUCCCAAAGUCAUGGUUAAGUGGGAAACGAUGUGGGAAGGCCCAGACAGCCAGGAUGUUGGCUUAGAAGCAGCCAUCAUUUAAAGAAAGCGUAAUAGCUCACUGGUCGAGUCGGCCUGCGCGGAAGAUGUAACGGGGCUAAACCAUGCACCGAAGCUGCGGCAGCGACACUAUGUGUUGUUGGGUAGGGGAGCGUUCUGUAAGCCUGUGAAGGUGUACUGUGAGGUAUGCUGGAGGUAUCAGAAGUGCGAAUGCUGACAUAAGUAACGAUAAAGCGGGUGAAAAGCCCGCUCGCCGGAAGACCAAGGGUUCCUGUCCAACGUUAAUCGGGGCAGGGUGAGUCGACCCCUAAGGCGAGGCCGAAAGGCGUAGUCGAUGGGAAACAGGUUAAUAUUCCUGUACUUGGUGUUACUGCGAAGGGGGGACGGAGAAGGCUAUGUUGGCCGGGCGACGGUUGUCCCGGUUUAAGCGUGUAGGCUGGUUUUCCAGGCAAAUCCGGAAAAUCAAGGCUGAGGCGUGAUGACGAGGCACUACGGUGCUGAAGCGACAAAUGCCCUGCUUCCAGGAAAAGCCUCUAAGCAUCAGGUAACAUCAAAUCGUACCCCAAACCGACACAGGUGGUCAGGUAGAGAAUACCAAGGCGCUUGAGAGAACUCGGGUGAAGGAACUAGGCAAAAUGGUGCCGUAACUUCGGGAGAAGGCACGCUGAUAUGUAGGUGAAGCGACUUGCUCGUGGAGCUGAAAUCAGUCGAAGAUACCAGCUGGCUGCAACUGUUUAUUAAAAACACAGCACUGUGCAAACACGAAAGUGGAUGUAUACGGUGUGACGCCUGCCCGGUGCCGGAAGGUUAAUUGAUGGGGUUAGCGGUAACGCGAAGCUCUUGAUCGAAGCCCCGGUAAACGGCGGCCGUAACUAUAACGGUCCUAAGGUAGCGAAAUUCCUUGUCGGGUAAGUUCCGACCUGCACGAAUGGCGUAAUGAUGGCCAGGCUGUCUCCACCCGAGACUCAGUGAAAUUGAACUCGCUGUGAAGAUGCAGUGUACCCGCGGCAAGACGGAAAGACCCCGUGAACCUUUACUAUAGCUUGACACUGAACAUUGAGCCUUGAUGUGUAGGAUAGGUGGGAGGCUUUGAAGUGUGGACGCCAGUCUGCAUGGAGCCGACCUUGAAAUACCACCCUUUAAUGUUUGAUGUUCUAACGUGGGCCCCUUACCGGGGUUGCGGACAGUGUCUGGUGGGUAGUUUGACUGGGGCGGUCUCCUCCUAAAGAGUAACGGAGGAGCACGAAGGUUGGCUAAUCCUGGUCGGACAUCAGGAGGUUAGUGCAAUGGCAUAAGCCAGCUUGACUGCGAGCGUGACGGCGCGAGCAGGUGCGAAAGCAGGUCAUAGUGAUCCGGUGGUUCUGAAUGGAAGGGCCAUCGCUCAACGGAUAAAAGGUACUCCGGGGAUAACAGGCUGAUACCGCCCAAGAGUUCAUAUCGACGGCGGUGUUUGGCACCUCGAUGUCGGCUCAUCACAUCCUGGGGCUGAAGUAGGUCCCAAGGGUAUGGCUGUUCGCCAUUUAAAGUGGUACGCGAGCUGGGUUUAGAACGUCGUGAGACAGUUCGGUCCCUAUCUGCCGUGGGCGCUGGAGAACUGAGGGGGGCUGCUCCUAGUACGAGAGGACCGGAGUGGACGCAUCACUGGUGUUCGGGUUGUCAUGCCAAUGGCACUGCCCGGUAGCUAAAUGCGGAAGAGAUAAGUGCUGAAAGCAUCUAAGCACGAAACUUGCCCCGAGAUGAGUUCUCCCUGACUCCUUGAGAGUCCUGAAGGAACGUUGAAGACGACGACGUUGAUAGGCCGGGUGUGUAAGCGCAGCGAUGCGUUGAGCUAACCGGUACUAAUGAACCGUGAGGCUUAACCUUACAACGCCGAAG
rnacentral:rRNA from 1 species